UGCUGGGAGUUAUAAUAAAAGGUGAAGGCUGGCGGCCGGCGGCGGCUGCGCGGGCCACAUGACAAGGUCUGGCGGGCCGGAUUCGGCCCGCGGGCCUUGUGUUUGACACCCGUGGCCUAGACU